rfam:Ornithorhynchus anatinus chromosome 6, whole genome shotgun sequence.
CCCCUCUCAGGGUCACACCUAGAGGAUUUCCAGUAUUCUACCGGUCUCGGCUAUGGGAGGGAGAGUCAAGCAAAGGCCUACCCAUUCCAUUCCUAGCUUGUGAAGUGGCUAGCGAGUGGAAGGCAAUCUGCUACAAGU